UACAGAGGGGGCAAGCGUUGUUCGGAAUUACUGGGCGUAAAGGGCGCGUAGGCGGCCUGCUAAGUCGAACGUGAAAUCCCCGGGCUCAACCCGGGAACUGCGUCCGAUACUGGUCAGGCUUGAAUCCGGGAGAGGGAUGCGGAAUUCCAGGUGUAGCGGUGAAAUGCGUAGAUAUCUGGAGGAACACCGGUGGCGAAGGCGGCAUCCUGGACCGGUAUUGACGCUGAGGCGCGAAAGCGUGGGGAGCAAACAGG
rnacentral:rRNA from 1 species